GCGGUCCCCGACUGGGACAUGCGCACUGUAGGUUGUUCCUGGACUAAGACGGAGAAGGGAGAAACAAUCGAGUGUGGUCGAGUAAUGGAGCCGCUGGAUGGGUGGAGAGGAUUAAAGCCAGCGGAGUGGACGGAGACGCUUCAUAAACACCUGGAUUAUUAGAAGUGGAGGAUUGACGGACGGGAAACUCAAACCAAACGUCACAUCCAGAUCUGACAGAGUCACUCGAUUCAUCAGGACCUGAAUCAGCAUCUGAAUGUGGAAUGGAAAAGGGCAUAAGGUGGAGAAAAUUUAUAGACAUGAAACUCAAAUCAGACAUCACAUCAAGAUCUGACGGGUCACUCGAUUCAUCAGAACCUGAAUAUCAUCGGCCUUUGAAUGUAGAAUGAGAAAUUUUUGUCUGUAGGGAAAGAUUUCAAACAUCAGUGUGACUGGAAAAGCAGCGAGACACACACACCUGGGUGAGUGUUCCAGUGAACUGACUGUGGAAAGAGCUUUAACCAGUUACACAGCCUGAAAAAACAGCACAUCAUUCACAGCGGAGAGAAAGUGUACCCCUUUUUCUGUGUGUGGACGAGGCUUCAACUGAUCAUUGAUUUUUCUAACAGUGACCAUAGUCCCACAGCAUCUCUGUAGAAGCACAAGGACACCCACACCAU